ensembl:lncRNA
CAUGCAUCGAACCUGGACUGGUGAUCUGUUUCACAUACGGCAAUAUACAUGUUUCAAUGCUAUUCUCUCAAACCAUCCCACCCUCGCCUUCUCCCACAGAGUCCAAAUGUCUGUUCUUCACAUCUGUGUCUCUUUUGCUGUCUUGCAGAUAAGGUCAUUGUUACCAUCUUUCUAAAUUCCAUAUAUAUGCGUUAAUACACUGUGUUUGUGUUUUUCCCCUGGUGGCUCAGAUGGUGAAGCGUCUGUCUACAAUGCGAGAGACCCAGGUUUGAUCCCUGGGUCGGGAAGAUCCCCUGGAGAAGGAAAUGGCAACCUGCUCCAGUAGUCUUGGCUGGAAAAUCCCAUGGAUGGAGAAGCAUGCUAUAGGAACAGUGAUGGGAUGUUGCUUCUGUGACCAGGUUCCUGAAAGGCUCUGGCUUUUGUCUUGAGUUGCUCUCCUCUCUCUCUUGUUCUCUUGCUCUGAGGGAGGGCAGCUCUAUGAACAGACUCACGUGGAAGGAACUGAUAUCUCCAGCUAAUAGCCAGUGAGGACUUGAGGCUUGCCAACAGCUACAGGAAUGAGCUUGGAAGUAGAUAUUCUGAAAUCUACCAACAGUCAUGUGAGUGGACUUGGAAGUGGAUCUUUCCUCUCUUGACUGAAGCAUCCCAAGGCACUUAGACAGAUGCAGCAAGCUAAUCCACACCCAGGUUCCUGAUGCAUAGACGCUGAGAGAUAAAAACUGCCAAGUCUGUGGGUGAUUUGUUAGGCAGCAGUAGAUAACGAAUACAGCAUGAUGCUUCGCUCAAGAGAUAAAGCAUGCUUUGUAGGAGUACAGAGGGAACAGCGAUUAACUCUGCACGGAGAGGCUGGGCAAGGUUCCCCUGUGGAGAGAAUGAUCCUCCAGCUGGAGAAGAUGGGCAUAGAUAACUGGUGGUGGUCCAUCCUCCCCGACCUCUCUCUUUUAUCACUACUGCACAACCUCCCAGCUCCUCCCGAGAGUUCUCACCUGACAAAGUACCUGGGCCCUGCCAUUCCAUAGAUCUGGACUAACGCGCCACUGGUAAUGGACUAAGAAGGAUACUUCUCUCCUCGCAUCUCUCUUUCAGCCACAGUGGGCUGGCCCUCUCCUGGCUAUCUCAAUUGGGUCCCAAUCCUGGCUGUUUUUGCCCCAGAAGGGGCCUCAGACAUUUCAUCUUUCAUUUUCAAAGUCUGCUCCCGCAUAGCUCCGCAUGUCUCCCUGUGCCCUCCUCAAUUAAAAAUGACACAAAAGUAAAGGAGACACAUAACUCUUUGAAAAGCCUUCCAGAUCCAAACUUUUUAAUGAAGACAGAAUAUAAAGAGCCUGUCUUAUCUCUCCGAUGCGACUCCCAUGUGCUGUAAUCAAGCGGAAUUAAUUAAAAGCAAUCAAGUGAUGCGGGCGCAGCCCUUGAGAUACAAAGAGGGGCACGACGGAGGCCCUGACGUUGAGGCCCACCAAAGCAGCCCAAGCAAGAGACGGCGGGAAGCCGGACAAGGACGAUGAAGAGGGGGGCAGACUGAAAACACUCAGGAGGGAGAAUCAGUAGGACUUAGAGACGGAUCGACAGGGGCUCAAGGGGCAGGAAGGUACUUAGAACGGCUCUUAGGUCUCCGGCUUUCUGGCUUAAGUGCCUGGGAGAGAUGUGUGGUCGCUACUGGGACGGA